UGGGGAAUAUUGGACAAUGGGGGCAACCCUGAUCCAGCAGUGCCGCGUGUGUGAAGAAGGUCUUCGGAUUGUAAAGCACUUUCGACGGGGACGAUGAUGACGGUACCCGUAGAAGAAGCCCCGGCUAACUUCGUGCCAGCAGCCGCGGUAAUACGAAGGGGGCUAGCGUUGCUCGGAAUGACUGGGCGUAAAGGGCGUGUAGGCGGUUUACACAGUCAGAUGUGAAAUCCCCGGGCUUAACCUGGGAGCUGCAUUUGAUACGUGUAGACUAGAGUGUGAGAGAGGGUUGUGGAAUUCCCAGUGUAGAGGUGAAAUUCGUAGAUAUUGGGAAGAACACCGGUGGCGAAGGCGGCAACCUGGCUCAUGACUGACGCUGAGGCGCGAAAGCGUGGGGAGCAAACAGGACGUAGAUACCCUGGUAGUCCACGCUGUAAACGAUGUGUGCUAGAUGUUGGGU
rnacentral:rRNA from 1 species